GCCUCGGUGGAUCGUUGGUUGAUCAUCCCUGUUUCGUGUGCAUAAGGGAUCUCUGUUUCAUGGGAAGACGAGGGUUCAAAUCCCUCCCGAGGCA